UACGUAGGGCGCAAGCGUUGUCCGGAUUUAUUGGGCGUAAAGAGCUCGUAGGCGGUUUUGUCGCGUCUUCCGUGAAAACUGGGGGGCUUAACUUCCAGCUUGCGGUGGAUACGGGCUGACUGGAGUGCGGCAGGGGGAGACUGGAAUUCCUGGUGUAGCGGUGGAAUGCGCAGAUAUCAGGAGGAACACCAAUAGCGAAGGCAGCUCGCUGGGGACGUUACUGACACUGAGGCGCGAAAAGCGUGGGGGAGCGAACAGG
rnacentral:rRNA from 1 species